rnacentral:rRNA from 1 species
UACGUAGGGUGCGAGCGUUGUCCGGAAUUAUUGGGCGUAAAGAGCUCGUAGGCGGUCUGUCGCGUCUGCUGUGAAAACCCGAGGCUCAACCUCGGGCCUGCAGUGGGUACGGGCAGACUAGAGUGCGGUAGGGGAGAAUGGAAUUCCUGGUGUAGCGGUGGAAUGCGCAGAUAUCAGGAGGAACACCGAUGGCGAAGGCAGUUCUCUGGGCCGUAACUGACGCUGAGGAGCGAAAGCGUGGGGGAGCGAACAGGAUUAGAUACCCUGGUAGUCCACGCCGUAAACGUUGGGCGCUAGAUGUGGGGACCAUUCCACGGUUUCCGUGUCGCAGCUAACGCAUUAAGCGCCCCGCCUGGGGAGUACGGCCGCAAGGCUAAAACU